AUGGGAGCAGAGGGAAGAUUUCAGGGGCCUUCCUUAGCGUUGAGGAUGUGGAGGCGAGAGGUAGGUCCAUCCCUGAGGAAUGAAGCACCCGUAGAGACACAGGCCUUUAAGCUUCAGAAGCUUGGAGACGCACGUGGCAGUGGGGAUAAAAGGCCUCAGCGUUCUCCCCAAAUCUUUCAUACCUUCAAAGACUUAGCCGCCUCCCCCCGACCCCACCCCUGCCUUCUCAGCUCCCCAUUUGUUGUCAGUGUAAUAAAGACAGGGAAAAAAACAGCAUGCAAAGUCCUUAAUGUAAUACUGACAAAUCUGAACAUUUCACUAGCCCUUUAGUUUGCAAAGCCCCUUCGAAAACAGGAACAUGGUAAAGAAAGAAGGCUUGCUGACCCUGUGCAGAAAGGUCCGGCGGGAUGGCUUCCUUUGUGUAUUUAUUUUCACAAAUCACUGCCUAUUAAUGAAAGGAAAUUAGAAAUGAAAUUUUGAAAGAAAAAAAAAGUCACCCCGUCUCCCCCCCGAAGAUAACCAUUAUUACCAUUUUAAUAUGUUGCUUUCAAGUCUCUUCUCCAUAGAUAGAUUUUGUUUUAAGAAAUACCAACGUGACCUUGUUUUUUGUAGGCUGCUUUUUAUGCAACAUUAUGAGUUUUUCCCCACAUUAGCUCUUGAGGAGACAUAAUUUUUAAUGGCCAUGUGUUUCCUUAGAAGAUUUGUUUUUAGCACAGAAUCUACCAUGAUGUAUAACUGUUUGGGGGAGGGCUGUCUCCAAAUCUGAAAUACCUGGUGAACUUUUUAAAAAUAAUCCUUUGUUGUGAAAUAUAACAAUAUAGCCAGCUAGUUUUAAUUUUUUUUAAUUAAACUAUAGUUGAUUUACCCUGUUGGGUCAGUUUCUGCAGGACUGCCAAGUGACCCAGUCAAACAUAUACAUUCUUUUUCUCAUAUUAUCUUUCAUCAUGUUCUAUCACAAGAGAUGGGAUAUAGUUCCCUGUGCUAUAGACAGAGCAGGACCUCAUUGCUUAUACUACUGUAGUUUUCAUGGCUUCACUUUCUUGGUUUUCUUUCAAUUAAGUGUCUGUAAACAGUAGGUUCAUUUUGGUGGGUUUGGGGGGAUUUUUUUGCAAAUAGUAGUGUAGAGCACAUACCCUGUUGUGUCUGCCCCUUUUGCCUAAUAGCAUGUCUCUAGGAUUGACCAAUAUCGGAGUUCCCAUUCUGGCUCAGCAGGUUAAGGACCCGAGGUACUCCCUGUGUGGCUGUGGCUGUGGUGUAGGCCAGCAGCUGCAGCUCCAAUUCGACCCCUAGCCUGGGAACCUCCAUAGGCAGCAGGUGCAGCCAUAAAAAG
rnacentral:lncRNA from 1 species